rnacentral:rRNA from 1 species
CAGUCGCCGCGGGAAUACGUAGGUGGCAAGCGUUGUCCGGAAUUAUUGGGCGUAAAGGGCUCGCAGGCGGUUUCUUAAGUCUGAUGUGAAAGCCCCCGGCUCAACCGGGGAGGGUCAUUGGAAACUGGGAAACUUGAGUGCAGAAGAGGAGAGUGGAAUUCCACGUGUAGCGGUGAAAUGCGUAGAGAUGUGUAGGAACACCAGUGGCGAAGGCGACUCUCUGGUCUGUAACUGACGCUGAGGAGCGAAAGCGUGGGGAGCGAACAGGAUUAGAUACCCCUGUAGUCCCUGUCUCUUAUAC